AAAAUAAUAUAACAAUUCCCAAUCAUACGUGAAAAUAUAAAAAUAUGUAUCAGUAUUCGAAAAAUUUAGUCCUUACGAAUACUCAUUAGUUCAUCAUGGAAAAAAACUUAAUAAUCACGAUUGUUGAAAUUACUCAUGUUUCUAAAUACAAUUAUCGAUGAAAAAACAUUAGUGACCAAUGACGUCAAUAGAAUCAUCUAUAUCAUACUUGGUACAACUGAAAAUAAACCAUAAUUAACGGAAGAGUGAUAAAUUUUUAAUAGUCAUUUUCAAAGUCGGCUUCUUUUCAUCUCCAGAAACUCGAAAAUAACCCAGGGAAAAAUAAUUUUGAAAAUACUCCACCAGUCAUAAUUGUCUCAGAUGAUGUACCAAAUAACAAUUAUGUUCUAAUUUAUUAUGAAUUCAUGAGAUUGAUUCGACCUCAUAUGAGGAAUUGGCCAUGUGAAAACACUUUCUUAACGCGUAAAUAUGAAGACGCAGAUUGUUAUCUCUCAAACGUACGACCGGAUUUCUACAUUACUUUUCCGAGAUGUCUGUACAGGAAACCAGCAUUUUUGAAAUAAUAUCAUGAAUUUUGAUAAAUAUCAAUAAUCACUCAAAAGAAGUAAAAUUCCAUGUUAUUAGUGAAUAAUACAAGAAUAAAGAAUAUGUUAAUUUAUGAGCCAUUAA